UGCCAGAAGUUUACCAUGUCUAUUCUCAGGAUCCAUGCCAGAGAGAUCUUUGACUCCCAUGGGAAUCCCACUGUUGAAGUGGAUCUGUGGUCUUUUGUGGUCAAAAGGUCUCUUCCGAGAUAUGGUGCCCAGCGGUGCGUCCACUGGCAUCUACGAGGCACUAGAACUCCGAGACAAUGGCACGACCCGCUUCAUGGGGAAGGGUGUCUCACAGGCUGUUGAACACAUCCAUAACACUAUUGUACCUGCUCUGGUUAGCAAGAAAGUGAAUGUUGUGGAGCAAAAGAUUGACAAGCUGAUGAUCAAGAUGGACGGCACUGAGAAUAAAUCUAAAUUUGGUGCAAAUGCCAUCCUGGGAGUAUCCCUGGCUGUCUGUAAAGCUGGUGCUGUGGAAAAGGGGGUGCCCCUUUACUGUCACAUUGCUGACUUGGCCAGCAAUCCUCAAGUCAUUCUGCCGGUCCCAGCUUUCAAUGUGAUCAAUGGUGGUUCUCAUGCUGGCAACAAGCUGACCAUGCAGAAGUUCAUGAUCCUGCCUGUGGGGGCAUCCAGCUUCCAGGAAGCCAUGCACAUUGGAGCAGAGGUUUACCACAACCUGAAGAAUGUCAUCAAGGAGAAGUACGGGAAGGACAUCACCAGUGUGGGUGAUGAGGGUGGAUUUGCACCUAACAUCCUGGAGAACCAAGAAGCACUGUUGCUGCUCAAGACUGCAAUUGCAAAGGCCGGCAUCACUGACCAGGUUGUCAUCAGCAUGGAUGUGGCUGCCUCUGAGUUCUACAGGUCUGGCAAGUAUGACCUGGACUUCAAGUCUCCGGAUGACCCCAGCAGGUACAUCACACCUGACCAGCUGGCUGACCUGUACAAGUCCUUCAUCCAGGACUCCCCAGUGGUGUCCAUUGAAGACCCCUUUGACCAGGACGACUGGGGUGCCUGGCAGAAGUUCACGGCUGGUGCGGGCAUCCAGGUGGUGGGCUGUGGGAGAGAAGUCCUGCAACUGCCACCUGCUCAAAGUGAACCAGACUGGCUCUGUGACGCAGUCUCUGCAGGUGUGUAAGCUGGCCCAGUCCAAUGGCUGGGGCAUCACGGUGUCCCACCGAUCUAGGGAGACUGAGGUCACUUUUAUUGCCAACCUGGUGGUGGGGCUCUGCACUGGGCAGAUCAAGACUGGUGCCCCUUGCCGAUCUGAAAGCCUGGCCAAGUACAAUCAGAUCCUUAGAAUCGAGGAAGAGCUGGGCAGCAAAGCAGAGUUUGCUGGCAGGUCCUUCAGGAAGCCCCUGGCCAAGUAA